CUACGGCCUAGAGACGGAAAACCUCCGGACUCUGUCCCACAAGCUGAACGCUUCGGCAAAGAACCUCCAGAACUUCAUCCUGGGCCGGCGGAGGGGCGGCCACUACGAUGGACGAGCUUCCCGGAGGCUACCCAAUGACUUCCUUACCUCGGUGGUGGAUCUGAUUGGUGCAGCCAAGAACCUGCUAGCCUGGCUCGACAGGUCUCCGUUCGCCAGUGUGACAGAGUAUUCAUUACUGAAGAACAACAUUGUGCAGCUCUGCCUAGAAUUAACCACCAUCGUACAACAGGAUUGCACUGUGUAUGAGACAGAGAAUAAGAUUCUUCAUGUGGUAAG